rnacentral:lncRNA from 1 species
UAUAUACAUCAAUCAGAACAGCAGACGAAUAGAGAGGGGGAUACGCAACAAGAUACGAACAUCGAAAGGGACGAUCAUACAUCAAUCUGAGAUACGAAUUUGGAGUUCUGGAGGCGAAAAUCAGAGGCUGUUGAAGGUUUGGAAGCUUUGGGAUUGCAAGGAAUCAUUCGGGCGCGAAAGAAGAAGGUUCCAACACUAGGAAAUCGGAAAGUUCACAAGAUCGAGGUAAAUCCUCAAUGUAGGCGACUUGGCAAAUUGGAGCGAGCAUACGCACACUUUAUGACCAUCAAGCGCUUCCGCUAGUCCGUAUUAAUGUUUUGGGUCAAAAUAUCUAUUUUGUACAACUUUAUCUUGUCGAAUGGAUUGUAG